UGCGAGAGGGGGCUUGCCCCCGAUAGCGGUGUGUCAGUCAACAGUUGUCUAGCUGACCCACCACGUCGGGGGCAAGCCCCCUCCCACA
rnacentral:misc_RNA from 1 species